AAUGCGUUAAUAAUAUCGGUCACGAGUUUUUCUUUCUCUGCGCGAAAACUGUUACAAAGGUUAUGUGCCCAGGUAGAUAUGGGUUUCAAGUUUUCGGUUCGUAAGAAUAUUUAAGUUACGAUAAAUCGGUUAAUUUGCUCAUCCGGCGUUAAAAGCAAUAAACGCGGUAAAAUGGCUAAUGCUGUAGCUAGCGUCGAAAAAUUGAGUGGCGACAAUUAUGCUACUUGGAGCAUCCAAAUGAAAAGCCUUCUCAACACUCUGGAUUUGUGAAAUGCUGUCGCGGAAAAGUGUCCAGAAGCGGAAUCAGAAAAGGCAGCCUGGCUUCUGUUCGACAGGAAAGCACUUGCGACCAUAACGUUGAGCGUAAAGCCAAGCGAACUCAUCCAUAUAAAAAACUUAUUUAAAAAAUUAAUUCGGUUCCAAUUCAAAACCAGCGAGAAAUUUUCGGUUCAACUAAAGGAAUUCCGCUGCAUCGUCGAUGACUAGAAAGAAGUAAAUUUAGAGAUGGAAGAUGAUUUCUUGUCCAUUCUAUUUUCAUUACCCGACGAAUUGGAGAAUUUUGUGGUGGCAAUGGAAAGUAGGGACGUAUUGCCAAAAUUGGACAAUCUCAUUGCUAAGAUUUUGGAAGAGGAGCAAAGGCACGGUGAAAAGUGCAAUAGCGGAGAAACAGUUUUCUUAGCAAAUGAUAUAAGGCGACACACCGUAAAUAAAAGAAGCGUCAACAGCAGCAGCAAAGGCACAAAUAGCAGAGUCAACGUCAGCAGUAGCAGUGGCAGAGGUAUGGGCAGCGAGUUCAGCGUAGGUAACAGCAAAAGUGCUGACAGGUAUAGUGAUAAUAGAACGAAAAUGAAGGAAAAAGGAAGAGCUAACGAAAGUCGAAUUUCCAGUAAUAACAACAACAACAUACGGUGUUAUAAAUGUAGACGUAGAGGUCAUAUACGCUCUCAGUGACAAAACUCUUGAUCACUAUUUGAGAAGGAGAGAAAUUUAAACGGUAUUUGGAUUAUCAACAGCGGCGCAACGUCUCAUAUGUGCAAUAAUGCAAAAUUAUUUAGUUCUCUUGUUCGUGAUAAACAUAAAAUUAUUUUAGCAUCAGGUGACUAUAUUUAUGCACAAGAGAAAGGAACAGUUGUUUUGAGGACAAAAUACACAAAAAUACAUUUAAGAGACGUAUGGUACGUUCCAAAUAAACAUUCCAAUUUCUUUUCAAUCGGUAAAGCCGCUGAAAGUGGAAACGUAAUUAAAUUUGAAGAAAAUAGUGCUUUGAUACAAAAUAAAAUGGGAAAGACAAUUUUAACUACUAAAUUAGAAAAUGGCAUGUAUGUUGCUAACACAAAAAGAAACGCGGAUAGUGUUAAUGCUUUUAGUGAAUGCGCAAGUAAUUGGCACAGGCGGUUCGGUCAUCUUAACAUAAACGAUUUAAACAAAUUAUCAAAAAUGAAUAUGGUGAAUGGUUUAAACUUUAAAAUUCCGAAAAUCCUUGACUGCUUGACUUGUGCGGUGUGCAAAAUUCACAGUGUUCCCUGCUUUUGACUUAGUACUUACAGAUUUAUGCGGGCCAAUGGAUGUGAGUUCGGUUGGCGGUGCAUCGUAUUUUAUUUCAUUUAUAGACGAUUAUUCGAGGCAUAUGGUGGUUUAUUUUUUUAAAAGAAAAUCGGAUGCAUUCGAGAUGUUUAAACUUUUUGCUGCGACCGCGGAGAAGCAGACAGGCCGUAAAAUUAAAACAUUACGUAGGGGAAGGUGGGGAAUGUUGGGCCAUUUUUUCCCCUUGUAUAGGUUGAAAGCUGCAACCAACUGUCAUCGGCUCGUCUCAUACUAAGCUCAGUUUCUAUAUAGCACUCGAGCUGUUGUUUUUUUUCAACUCUGUGUACAGUUGAUUUUUUUCACAUUUUCCAAUAAAUUCAUCCAGGUAAAUAUGUUUAUAAUAUUAGUUGAGCCUUUAGCCUUCGACACACAAAAGAAAUUUUGCACGAAUUUACAUUGUGUUCAUUAUCCACCGCCAUUUUGCAAAUAUGAGCGUUUGGAGAAUUACGGGGAAUGUCGGGCCACAUAGUCUUUUACAUUUGACAUGCUAACUUCAUAUAUUUGACGUGUAUAAGUGAUUUUUCGUGCAGAAUUUCAACAACAGAAUAGUUUUUCAACAUUUCCUGCUAGUUUCGUGCUCCGAAAAAUUUUUUUUAGUCAUUAUGCCGCGGUACUAUCCCAAACAAGAGAAAAUUGUUGAUUUCGACAACAUUUUGGAGGCGAUCAAGUCGGUGAAAAUACAUCACAACAGCGUUCGACAAUCUGCGACGGCACACAAAAUUCCGAGGACCAACCUGAUGCGUUAAAUUGCAGCAUUUGAUGGUGCGAGCAUCGACGUUACUACUGCCUAUGCCGAUGUAAUGAAGAAUUUGUUGGCUGAAAGCACGACGAUGGGCACAAAAACAAUUUUCAAGAUCGAACAAGAGAAGGCGUUGAUAAGCUACAUUCUCCAGGCCGGCGACAUCAACUAUGGAAUUAGUUUGAUGGACCUUCGUAAGCUCGCGUAUGAAUUUGCUCGGAAAGUUGGCGCGUCGUAUCCGGAUCCAUGGAACGACAAUCAACAGGCGAGUAAGGAUUGGCAGUUGGCGUUCAUGAAACGCCACAAAAAUUUUUCACUGCGAACACCAGAGCAAGUAAGCCAGAGCCGUGCGAAGCGAUUCAACAAAGAGUAUGUCGAUGCAUUCUUUGCCAACCUUUCAUCCGUUCUCGGUAAGACGCCGUUUGAACCUCACCGAAUAUGGAACAUGGAUGAAACCGGGUGCCCGACCGUGCCAACCAGACCUGUCAAAACCAUCGCGCGAGUUGUGGUUAUUGAACCCGUGUUUUAAUACUAGAUUAACUUAUUGACCGAUGAAUACUGAACUUUAGUUCAAAUAUUCUUAUUAACACUAAACUUCAGUUUAGUGAAUCGCUAAGAGAAAACCACGACUUGUCGGAUUAACCGUCAGAAUUCUUCUGUUCAUUUAUUUCCAAUAUUUUCUUAAGCUAAGUUCUAUUUUCUGAUACAAAAUACAUUAUUUCUUUUCUUAUUAUUAUUUUGGCUCAACCACUUGUAGUUGCGACAAUAUUUGUCAAGUGGCCUACUUCUCACAUUACAUCAAUUGCAUUCCCUCAAAUAUUUAUGUUGCACUAUUUAUUGUGACGUUAAUUGCUAUCGCAAUAUUCGUUUGAACAUAUUAAAUGUGCAGCGGAAAUGCAAUGUGAUCCAAUGUAAGUGCCCUGGUUUGUUUCGAAAUAUGAUAUGUAUAUUUCGUGUGGUCGCAAUAUUGUUGCGGUAACAAAAAAGGGAAAAUAUUUAAGUAGACCAGUUAAUUCUAAGUGUUUUGGGGUAGGUUGUUAACGUUGACGUCGGCAUUAUUUCUUUGUUGCAGUUCUUAUGAAUUGCAGUUGCAUUCAUAUCGGUCAUGCCGAUAGUGGUUGGCAUCGACGUCGACGUAACUCCUCCCCCCCUUGAUUGAGCUCUCUCCUGGGAGAUCACAUUAGUAAUUUUGAAAUUCUUUCUCUUGUUUUUACAAUAAAUGAUUAUCGAAAGACUGACUAUAAUUACAAUUGAUAUUGUAACGGGUGAUUUUUUUGAGGUUAGGAUUUUCAUGCAUUAGUAUUUGACAGAUCACGUGGGAUUUCAGACAUGGUGUCAAAG